AUAAAGAAUCUUGCUCGGUCUUGACCAGAGUUAUUUGUUGAUUUCUUGAUUUGCAGGUGUGUUACAAUAACAAGGAGGUAAAUCCAUCAAAAAUCAUCUUCAAAACAAGCUACUGGUACAUAGUGAACUUUACAUUGAAAUGAUAUUUAUCAUGUCUCAAAGAAAUUGCUAAAGUUGAGUGUCCUACGAAAUACAAUAUUCACGGUAUUUGCUACACGUUAACAGUAUGAAACUUGCCGAUGAUUCGAGUUCAUCUGCAGAAGAUUCGAAGGAAAUGUUAUCUGAAAUAAAAAAUAAACUGAUUGAUCUGAUGUUAGAGAGGUCCCUCUCCGAACUUGCAAGGGUGAAACUUAAAGAUUGUAUUUCAUUGCUGGAGGCAUUUUCAACCUCGAUAGAUAGAAAUUUUGAGAAGGAUGAAAAGUCUACAAGCACAACAUUAAAACCUUUGCAACCGUCUCUCCCUCGAUCAUCGGAGGACCUGAGUUUAAGAGAACAAAAAAUGCCUAACUCGCGAUCCACAUCCGCUCUUAACGACAUGAAAAUGUGCAAUAACGAAGAUGACGUCAUAAAAUUAAAAGACUUAAAACUGAAAUGUGUUGAAGGUUUCGAUGAAUUUAACGCUAACAGAAGUAAUAACGAACUCAAUGAUACCUCAUACAAAGAUCUAAACGUUGAUGGAUUAGUUUUAAAUCAAUUUAAAACAGUUAAAAAUCUAGAAAUGAAUAACGAUAAGUUUAAAGACAAGCAUCAAGUGAAUGAUCAAUACAAAAUAUCAACCAACGAUAGUCUCGUCCAUGAAGUAAACAAUAUCAAACCGGAAGUAAUGAGGAAAGAAUCAAACAAUCCCAAACCAAGGCGUAAACGAGAUAGUUCAACGUUAUUUGAUAUCUCAUUGGAUGAUUUGACUGAACCAAAUCAUUCUGGAUUUUUAAUCGAAAAGCAUUCUGGUAAAGAUUGGUGGUGUGUACUCCAAGAUCAGCACUUGUGCAUGUUCCCAUCCAAGAAUCGUGAAGAACUUGCUUAUGACGUGUUACUAGUGCCAUGUUGUGAAAUCUCAUUGGACGAUGCUUUUAAUAACUCACCAGUGUUUCGUCUUACGCAAGUGGGUUCAACUCCGUGGGUAUUCUCAGCAGGAACGGAAAGAAACUUACGUGCAUGGUUGCGAGCAUUGUAUCGCGCUUGUGGGAGGGAUGAUGCUGAUUGUGGCAAGCACAGUUCCAAGAAAACACGUGGCAAAAAAGAGAAACGGCAGAAACGUAAUAUGAAAAUGUUUACGUCGACUAUUGAUGAGUCUGAGGAAGUUGGAGAAGAUAUGGUCGAAGAGCAAUGUUUACAGAACCUAAAGGAAAAUGAUGAAAAUUCUCUUGCAAACUUGGAAGGGCAAAGUCUAAAUGAAGAACUCGAUGAACUGAAUAGUGAAGAUAUUCCCAAACCUAAAACUUCACCACUAUCUCAGAUUUCAAAUAAAGAAAUGGGCUUGGUAAACCAAGAUAUAUCAUUUAAUGACUUUGUUGCAUUAAAAAAGCAAACAAUAGAAAAUGUCCCUUUAGGAAAAACCUCUAAAAUAGAUUUGAAAUGCGCUAAUACGUGUGAUUCAGAGGGAAAUGCGUCACAAAAGGACACUAUAGAAUUUGAUGUAGAUGGGCAAGAUACUUUGGAGUUAACGUUAUUUAAUAAAGAAAUCGGUUUUCAGCCUUUGAAAAUGAUCAAAAACGACAAUGAGAUGAAUACAUUCGAAGAAAAAAACAUACCUGUAGCAGCAACACAAAUUAACGAAAAUGCGUCAACUUCAGCCGUCAACAAAAAUGCUUUGCAAAAGGACAAUGUUGAAUCACAACUCGCGAAAAUUAAAGAUAAUGUACACCUGAGUAACGGUAAAGUCAAAUUUUUGCUUCUAAACAAGGAAGAUGAAAAUAUAGAGGAUCUGAUAAGGGGUCUUGAGACUAAAGAUAUGACUUUACCCAGUGGAAGUAUGGAUGAUGAUUAUGUGAUCAUGCAAAACAAUUCGGUUCAACUUCACAAAAGCCACCUCGAACCACUGUCUGUAGCAUCUUACGAAACUACCAAAGCUUUUCAGUUGGAAAGAAAGAGAACAAAAAAGCGUUUGAAAUUGAUGAAAUGGGUUAAAAAAACUAUAUCCAAAGAAGAAAGUGAUGACCAAAGAAUGGUAAUUGGUGACAUUUACAAAGUCGAGCAGCAAGAUUACUAUGUAAAACUGUGGUGCUUGCUUUGUAAUGGUAAACUUAAUGGGUAUCGUCACGUGACUGACAUAAAUCCAGACAUCAUAAUACCGCUGGCCAAUUGCACGUUGAUCUUAGGGUCGGUCACUUCAAACAAGCUGUUUCCGUUUGAUAUCGUGAGCGAUGGAGUGAAGUUGGUGACAUUUGCUGCACAAAGUAUAAAAGAGCGAAAUCGUUGGACUCAGAUCGUAGAAAAACAGCGAGGUACAUUCCUAUUUGAUGAAGUACAUCGUAGUUAUCGUAUGGAUAAUACAGAAUCAUCUACUAGUGAUGAAGAUGAUGAGGAUCACAUAUAUGAUGAAGUCGAUGACAUAUCGAAGAGGGAAUCAGAUUACGUUAUUCCCGAUAUAAAUGACAGCGGCUACGUUUCUGUUUUGGCGUUGGAAAGCGAAAUCAGUCGUCGAAGAACUCGCAAAAGAGAAAAGAGAGAAGAUAUGAAAAAUAUCGACGAAAAAGACACGACGAAAGCAAAGGACUCUUUAGAGAUGUGUAAAAAUCGUUCGCCAGCACCUUUUCCAAAGAAUUACACAGUCGAAAAAAACGAAAAUGAGUCCAAUCACACGAUCCCAUUGAUUCAUGUCGAAAAGCACACUUAUGAGAACGUCGUAAAAGAAGGAAAUAAAACCGCUGAUUUCGAUGUAAAAAAUAAUACGGAAGUGGAGAAAUUGGCCAAUUAUGAUGCAGAGCAACUCGAGAGUGGAAACGAAAUUCUUCCUUUCAAGCUCUCUGCCUCGUCUUCUUUACCAGAUAGUCCACCUUGUGAAGCUCACAGCUCGCCUAAUUUUGAAGUCGGAGAAGGGAUUGGAGCGUGGAGACCUGAGACCAAUGAUAAAAUUCAAUAUCUUGAAAUUGACUUGGGAAAUGUAAUGCCAGUCGUUGCCAUUUCCAUCAGUGGUAGGCCACACUUUGAUGAAAACGGUGGUGAGUUUGUAAAAUCUUUUACUGUUCAUCACAGCAAUGAUAAAGACACGUGGACAGCAUACAAGAGUCAUGGAAAAAUUAAGGUUUUUCAAGGAAUCCUUUCAGCCAAUCAAAAUUGCCAUAAAAAUUUCAAGCACAAGAUUACAGCGCAGUAUUUUAGAAUCUAUCCACAAUCUUGGCACAACCAUAUUGCAAUGCGCGUAUCGCUGUAUAAGGAUGAUCUUAAUAAUUCAACGAAGAAGAAGAAGGGAGAUAAAUCCAAGUUUGUUUCACCAAUCCCUUCACCCAUGAUGGGAAGAAAGAUGCACAUCAAAAAACAAGAUAUCUCAAAUCCUCUUCAGGUUUCAAACAACGGUGUUUUACCAGAUGUCAGCGAAGCAGGUGCACAUGACAAGGCUAAGAUUUUUGAAAUUGAAUCGGAAUAUGCCGAAAACCCAACAGCCAUGGAAAGCCGGAUUAAACUUCGAGAGCAACUUCUUGCAAAAGAGAAACGCGAACAGCUGAUUAAAUUGGAAGUAGUCAAAAAAUACGUGGACAAAGCUAAAGAAAAACUUAUCAUACUCAAUUCCUCUGCGCAACUCAAACCGGAGUCAAUCGAAUCAGAACAGGAUUUCCUCAUUGUGAAUCUAGAACUAGUGAAAGUAAAGCAACGUUUGAUGAAUAUUGAGACAGAAAUGAGAGAGUUGCAAGAUGUCAGGGAGAAGUACUUCAGUGACUUACAGGAUAAACAGAAUUCAAACGAAGAGAAAUCAAAUAAAGCAGUGUCAGAACAAGCAAAGACAAAUAAGGAAACAAAACCACGAUUAAAGAGACGACCCAGUAAGGAAGUGAGAGUUUUUAGUGAAGAUGAUUGUCCUGAUGUUGAUCCCGACGAAUUUAACCACCAGGGAGAUCUACAUACGCCAAGUAAAGUUCUGGAAAAUAUUAAGGGUUACUUGAAGCGAGAUGCUCCUGUCCAGAUGUUGGUGGAAAGACUGGAAGUUGUAAACAUGUCAUUGGCUUACUAUUGAACUACAAAGAAUGUCAAAGAAACAAUGUGAACGAUCUGAAUUUCGUGCACUACUCAAUUAACAACACGCAAAAGAAAUUCAAAGGAAAAAAGGCCAACGUAAAGGAGGCUGUCAAGAAACAGCGAUAUCAGACUUUAUAUUGUAUGAGUGAAGAAGAAUUUUUUAGAACUGCGAAAGAAAUGUUGAAGAAUGCUAAAAUGCGAAUAAUCGUCAAACGACGAAAAAGAUGUGACGAAGAAUAAUGAGAAGAAAGAACAAAGGUUUUGUUUUUAUUUGUAGCUAUAUUUUGAAAUUAUGUAACUUUUUCAAUCGAAGGCAAAAUUUGUUCCUGACAAACAAUCUUAUAGCUUUGAUGAAACUAAAGUACAAUGGAUACGACACGACCCCUUAAAAGAACGCUCAUACAGCAAAAACUUCGAGUUCUUCGAAUUUAUCACUUGAUGGAAUUCUGCAUUUGUUUGAACUAUCAGGCAACGAUCAUGUCCAUUCGCUGGAAAAAGGCAUUUCUAUGACGUCCACAACUAAUGAAAACCCAAAUAAUUUAGAAAACUACGAUAAAGUCAUCAACGGUAUAGAAAAGAAUCGAAUUUCUAAAUCUGUUGAUAGUUUUGAAGCGUUUCUCGAUGAGAUGAUGUGAAUAUAAGGUUAAUUAUGCAUGUCGUGGAGCUUGACACUUUCAGCCGUUCAGAUGAACAAUCAAACUUCACAACAACAAUAGCAAUAAAUGAAAAACCAGUCAGGUGCAAGAAUAAUCAUUGUCAUAAAGACAGAAAGUUUUGUACUGUAGGAUUAAUCUGUUUUCGUUUAUGCAUGCAUAAUAAUGCAUGUAAGAACAUAAAUUCCACUUAUAAAUCUGCCUAGACUAAAUUUGAACAGAAACAGCAGCAGCAAGUACAAUGGCAAGGAUAAAAGGGCGAGACCACAUUAAAGUUUAUGUUGAGAGAGAAUUAUUCGGUCACUGGACGGGAGUCUCAACGUGGAUUGAACGUAAAUUAUUAACUAUCAAAGCGGAAUUGCUACGAGUUAACGACGUCUACCUGAAAAACCAAAUGUCAAUGGAUAUACCGGACGAAAUCUAAGCAUUUGAUAAGCAUACAGUUUGUAGAGAAGCUAUGGAAUUGAGUGAUAGCGUAACGCAACAAACAAGAGCACCGUGAAGACUGUGCAGAUUGGUUUAUUACAACAUCCUAUGUCCUCAACACAAUGUUUAAAGAUAAUAUGGCUGCGUUGUCAAAUAUGCGGUGAUAUGUUAUAAGUGUCAUAAACCUUUGAAAUGUAGGAUAUGACUCGUGAAAUCGACAUUCCUAAAGAAUACACCUCAAAUCGGAACGAUAGGAAAAAUUCAUUUCCAAUGUAUAUUAUAUGAAAGCUAAAAGAAGACAAGUUAUCAGCUGCUUUAAAGUCUUUACCAACGUCAAGCCAGAAAUAUGUCAUCCUCAUAUUUUACUGCGACAAGUGCCAUUGGAUUAGUAAAGCUAAUAUCGACAGCAGCCGCUAAAAGAAAUCUGCAUUGCUUAGCCGUAAGAAAACGUGCUGCUUUUGAAAGACUUACUUGUCUCUAUCUUUUUCAAAAGAAUUUCGAACUAUAACUAAAUGUAACUAUAGAUGUUUUGCUAAUGUAUUACCAAACUAACAUUAAUAUAAAAAUGUAUUUAUUUGUACUACUCUUUCACUCUUUAUAUCAACACUCGACUACGAAUAUGA